rnacentral:lncRNA from 1 species
CUUGCAUCAAUAUUCUUAAUGGACACACUGCACCUGUGAGAGGAUUAAUGUGGAAUACUGAGAUUCCAUAUCUGCUCAUAUCUGGCAGCUGGGACUAUACUAUAAAAGUAUGGGACACUCGAGAAGGAACUUGUGUGGAUACUGUGUAUGAUCACGGUGCAGAUGUAUAUGGUUUAACCUGCCAUUCCAGUCGCCCCUUCACUAUGGCCUCUUGCUCCCGUGACUCUACAGUGAGACUGUGGUCAUUAACAGCCUUAGUCACUCCUGUACAAAUAAAUAUUCUGGCAGACAGAUCUUGGGAAGAAAUUAUUGGGAACACUGAUUAUGCUAUAGAACCAGGCACUCCUCCUCUACUGUGUGGUAAAGUGUCAAGAGAUAUUAGACAGGAAAUAGAAAAACUAACUGCUAAUUCUCAAGUGAAAAAACUAAGAUGGUUUUCAGAAUGUUUUUCCCCUCCAGGUGGCAGUGACAAUUUAUGGAACUUGGUUGCUGUGAUAAAAGGACAGGAUGAUAGCUUACUUCCUCAGAACUACUGCAAAGGAAUAAUGCACUUGAAACAUCUGAUUAAAUUUAGAACAG